ensembl:rRNA 5S_rRNA 5S ribosomal RNA
GCCAGAGCCAUCUCUCCCUGCAGCUCCCUCCUGUUUUCCCACUGAUGCUAAGCAAGGUUGAGCCUGGCCAGUACCUGGAUGGGAGAUCUCCUGGGGAAAACUAAGGCUGCUGCUGGAA